UUGAAGGGUUUGAUCCUGGCUCAGAACGAACGCUGGCGGCAGGCUUAACACAUGCAAGUCGAGCGCACUCUUCGGAGUGAGCGGCAGACGGGUGAGUAACGCGUGGGAACCUACCUUUAGGUACGGAACAACAGUUGGAAACGACUGCUAAUACCGUAUGU
rnacentral:rRNA from 12 species